AACCUGCGGAAGGAUCAUUAGUGAAUCUAGGACGUCCAACUUAACUUGGAGUCCGAACUCUCACUUUCUAACCCUGUGCAUCUGUUUUAAAAUUGGCUAGUAGCUCUUCGGAGCGAACCACCAUUUUUCACUUAUACAAACACAAAGUCUAUGAAUGUAAACAAAUUUAUAACAAAACAAAACUUUCAACAACGGAUCUCUUGGCUCUCGCAUCGAUGAAGAACGCAGCGAAAUGCGAUACGUAAUGUGAAUUGCAGAAUUCAGUGAAUCAUCGAAUCUUUGAACGCACCUUGCGCUCCUUGGUAUUCCGAGGAGCAUGCCUGUUUGAGUGUCAUGAAAUCUUCAACCCACCUCUUUCUUAGUGAAUCUGGUGGUGCUUGGUUUCUGAGCGCUGCUCUGCUUCGGCUUAGCUCGUUCGUAAUGCAUUAGCAUCCGCAACCGAAACUUCGGAUUGACUUGGCGUAAUAGACUAUUCGCUGAGGAUUCCAGACUUGUUCUGGAGCCGAGUUGGGUUAAAGGAAGCUUCUAAUCCUAAAGUCUAUUUUUUGAUUAGAUCUCAAAUCAGGUAGGACUACCCGCUGAACUUAA
rnacentral:rRNA from 1 species